GCGUUCUUGGAUUAGAGGAAUUGAUGAUUGAUUAAUGGAUAAAAGUAUUUCAGCCAAAUUGUCUGCGUUUUUUACCGUUGCCGCCUGCUGCAGUAUAUGCUUGGAAACGUUUCGCCAGCUGUACUUGUUUAAACCGACUGUAAGCACACCUAAAGGAAUAUGCAUUGGCUCUAAAAGUACAUAGCCUCUAGGUUGGCCGCUAGCUUUAUCGAUAGGAAACAUACUCUCGUACAUGAGCUUCAAAUCCACCCAGUAGCAAGGAUAUUUAAAUCGAGCAACGUCCAAUAUUAAUAUCUUGUUAUCACUUUCACUGAAGCCUCCAACUGGACUAAAAUGUCCAUCGCCUGUUUGACCGAGCACUUUCCGGCAAAAUGAAAUUGCCAUAAUUUUAUUCUCAAUGGUAGAACAAGAGAUUACGUCUUUCCGAAAUUCAUCAAAGCUAACAUCUUUGACACAUUUCGUAAUAGUCCGAAGGCCAUUGCAGUUAGCUAAACAAGAGAACUCUUCUAGCGUAACACCAUCUUUUUCAAUAUCGCUUAGCGAUCGACAACAAUCAAGCAUAUACUGAUCAUACCAGCGCCAAGAUCCCUUCCAUAAUCUACCCGGGUCAACUUUAAGCGAAUUAAGAAUCAUGCAGAGAGUUCCCAAUCCACAAAAAGCUGGUUCGUUUUGGGUUACCAUCUGCUGUGCAAGCGAAAAAUAAUUUUCCAUCCGUCCCUCUUGCAAUGCUCGUAAAAAAACAUCUUUACCGAGAGAUGAAUCAAAAGCUAAACAUUGUUUAGGC